UGAGGAAUACUGGGCAAUCCCCGCAAGGGUGACCCAGCAACGCCGCGUGGAGGAUGAAUGUCGUAAGAUUGUAAACUCCUGUUAGAGGGGAAGAAUAGUACCGGUUGGACCGGUAUAUGACUGUACCCUCAGAGAAAGCCCCGGCUAACUACGUGCCAGCAGCCGCGGUAAUACGUAGGGGGCAAGCGUUGUCCGGAUUUACUGGGUGUAAAGGGCGCGCAGGCGGGAUAAAAAGUCAGUGGUGAAAUCCUACAGCUUAACUGUAGAACUGCCUUUGAUACUUUUAUGCUUGAGUUCGGGAGAGAGAGACGGAAUUCCAGGUGUAGUGGUGAAAUACGUAGAUAUCUGGAAGAACACCAGUUGCGAAGGCGGUCUCUUGGUCCGACACUGACGCUGAGGCGCGAAAGCGUGGGGAGCAAACA
rnacentral:rRNA from 1 species